rnacentral:rRNA from 1 species
ACGGGUGAGUAAUGCCUAGGAAUCUGCCUGGUAGUGGGGGACAACGUUUCGAAAGGAACGCUAAUACCGCAUACGUCCUACGGGAGAAAGCAGGGACCUUCGGGCCUUGCGCUAUCAGAUGAGCCUAGGUCGGAUUAGCUAGUUGGUGAGGUAAUGGCUCACCAAGGCGACGAUCCGUAGCUGGUCUGAGAGGAUGAUCAGUCACACUGGAACUGAGACACGGUCCAGACUCCUACGGGAGGCAGCAGCG